rnacentral:tRNA from 1 species
UCGUAGCGCAGUUGGAUAGCGUGUCAGACUCCGACUCUGAAGGCCGUGGGUUCGAAUCCCGCCGGGC